AUCAAGCCGAAAUGAGACACAUUGACAUGUCGACACCACGUGCAACAUGCGAUUUUUUUUCUGAACUUGCGCGUCAAAUAUGGUGCAUUUUGUUUGGUGGUAGCACAGUUUUUUCCCACCUAUAGCACCAGUAUAAUGCAUCACAGUUGA
ensembl:ncRNA Y54E10A.21 ncRNA